rnacentral:lncRNA from 1 species
GCUUUGGAGCUUGUUGAUGAAAUGCGUCGUAGCAAAAUUAUUCCUAAUGUGGUGACUUACAAUUCACUUAUUGAUGGUUCGUGUAAAUCGGGAAGAAUCGAAAAGGCUUUGGAGCUUGUCGGUGAAAUGCAUCGUAUCAAAAUUAUUCCUGAUGUGGUGACUUACAAUUCACUUAUUGAUGGUUUGUGUAAAUUAGGAAGAAUCGAAAAGGCUUUGGAGCUUGUCGAUGAAAUGCAUCGUAGCAAAGUUAUUCCUGAUGUGGUGACUUACAAUUCACUUAUUGAUGGUUUGUGUAAAUUAGGAAGAAUCGAAAAGGCUUUGGAGCUUGUCGAUGAAAUGCAUCGUAGCAAAAUUAUUCCUAAUGUGGUGACUUACAAUUCACUUAUUGAUGGUUUCUGUAAAUUAGGAAGAAUCGAAAAGGCUUUGGAGCUUGUCGAUGAAAUGCAUCGUAGCAAAAUUAUUCCUGAUGUGGUAACUUACAGCUCACUUAUUGAUGGUUUGUGUAAAUCAGGAAGAAUUGAAUAUGCUUUGGAGCUUGUCGAUGAAAUGCGUUGCAGAGAAGUUAUUCCGAAUGUGGUAACGUACAAUUCACUUAUUAAUUGUUUGUGCAAAUCUGGAAGAAUCAAAUAUGCAUUGGAGCUUGUCGAUGAAAUGCGUUGUAGAAAAAUUAUUCCUGAUGUGGUGACUUACAAUUCACUUAUUGAUGGUUUGUGCAAAUUGGGAAGAAUCAAAUAAGCUUUGGAGCUUGUCAAUGAAAUGCAUGAUAGAGGUCAACCGCCUGAUAUAUUUACUUACACUUCCAUAUUGGAUGCUUUGUUCAAAAACCAUCAUGUUGACGAGGCAAUUGCACUAUUAACCAAAAUUAUGGAGAAGGGUAUUCAGCCAAACAUGCAUUCUUAUCAAUGGAUUGUGUAUAGGUGG